rnacentral:rRNA from 2 species
UACAGAGGGUGCGAGCGUUAAUCGGAUUUACUGGGCGUAAAGCGCGCGUAGGUGGUUAAUUAAGUCAAAUGUGAAAUCCCCGAGCUUAACUUGGGAAUUGCAUUCGAUACUGGUUAGCUAGAGUAUGGGAGAGGAUGGUAGAAUUCCAGGUGUAGCGGUGAAAUGCGUAGAGAUCUGGAGGAAUACCGAUGGCGAAGGCAGCCAUCUGGCCUAAUACUGACACUGAGGUGCGAAAGCAUGGGGAGCAAACAGG